rnacentral:rRNA from 1 species
UGGGGAUUUUUCCGCAAUGGGCGAAAGCCUGACGGAGCAAUACCGCGUGAGGGAGGAAGGCUCUUGGGUUGUAAACCUCUUUUCUCAGGGAAGAAAAAAAUGACGGUACCUGAGGAAUAAGCAUCGGCUAACUCCGUGCCAGCAGCCGCGGUAAUACGGAGGAUGCAAGCGUUAUCCGGAGUGAUUGGGCGUAAAGCGUCCGCAGGUGGCUGUGUAAGUCUGCUGUUAAAGAGUCUGGCUCAACCAGAUAAAGGCAGUGGAAACUACACGGCUAGAGUGCGUUCGGGGCAGAGGGAAUUCCUGGUGUAGCGGUGAAAUGCGUAGAGAUCAGGAAGAACACCGGUGGCGAAAGCGCUCUGCUAGGCCGCAACUGACACUGAGGGACGAAAGCUAGGGGAGCGAAAGGGAUUAGAUACCCCUGUAGUC